UGGGGAAUUUUGCACAAUGGGGGAAACCCUGAUGCAGCGACGCCGCGUGAUUUAGAAGGCCUUCGGGUUGUAAAAAUCUUUUCUAUGGGAAGAAAAUGACAGUACCAUAGGAAUAAGGACCGGCUAAUUACGUGCCAGCAGCCGCGGUAAUACGUAAGGUCCGAGCGUUGUCCGGAAUCAUUGGGCGGAAAGGGUACGUAGGCGGGUAAGCAAGUUAGAAGUGAAAUCCUAUAGCUCAACUAUAGUAAGCUUUUAAAACUGCUCAUCUUGAGGUAUGGAAGGGAAAGUGGAAUUCCUAGUGUAGCGGUGAAAUGCGCAGAUAUUAGGAGGAAUACCGGUGGCGAAGGCGACUUUCUGGCCAUAACCUGACGCUGAGGUACGAAAGCGUGGGUAGCAAACAGG
rnacentral:rRNA from 1 species